rnacentral:lncRNA from 10 species
AUGUUUAUUAUUGUUACAUCUUCUUGAUAAAUUGACCCUUUAUCAAUGAAUAGUGAAUUUGCUUGUCUUUUGUAAUUUUAACUUCAUGUCUAUUUCAUCUGAUAUUAGUGUAGUUAUACCAGCUCUGUUUUGGCAACUAUUUGUGUGGAAUAUCAUUUUCUGUCUGUUUAUUUUCAGCCUAUUUGUAUCUUUGGACCUAAAGUUAGUCUCUUGUGGGCAGACAACAUGCUUUUAUUUUUUAAUCCAUCCUGCCAGUUUUUGUCUUUUAACUGGCAAGGACUUGCACCCAGGCUGAACUACAGUAGCAUUGCAUGAUCUUGACUUACUGCAGCCUCAACUUCACAGGCUCAAGCAAUCCUCCCACUUUAGCCUCCAAAGUAGCUGGGACCACAGGGAUGUGCUACCAUGCCUGGUUAAUUUUUCUAUUUUUUGCAGAGAUGGGGUCUCCCUAUGUUGCCCAGGCUGGUCUUGAACUCCUGAGCUCAAGUGAUCCUCCCACCUCAGCCUCUCAAAAUACUGAGAUUAUAGGCAUGAUCCACCAUGCCCAGCUUUAUUUCUUUGUAUGCCUUCUAACUCCAAUCUUACGUCUUUUCAUCCUGGAGAACUCUUUUUAAUAGUUCUUGUAGGGCAGGUUGGCUAGUGAUGAACUCUCUCAACUUUAAUAGGGAUAUCUUAAUUUUUGCUUCAUUUCUGCAGUAGAAUUUAGCCACAUAUAGAAUUUUUGGUUGACAGCUUUUUUUUUUUUAUUUCAGCACUUUAAAUAUGUAAUCUACUGUCUUUUGGCCGACCUAGCUUCUGAUGAUAAAUUGGCUGUUAAACUUAUCAAGGAUCCUUUGUACAUCAUGAGUCAAUUAUUCCUUGCUGCUUUCAAGAUUCUCUGUCUGUCUUUGUCUUUUGAGAGGUUUAUUAUAGUAUGUCUUGGUAUGUAUCCCUUUGAGUUUAUCCUUCGUGGAGUUUGCUCAGCAACUUGGAUGUAUGGACUCAUGUUUUCUUUUUAUCAAAAGUCACUACCUCUUAAUAUUGUUGAAGUUUAUUGAGUUAUUAUGUUUAGAGAACUAAAACAAUGCCUGGCAUAUAACACCAU